AAUCAGUGUCCGCUCUUCCUAUUGGCUCAUGCUUGCGGCAGGGGAAUACGAAAUCUCCAGCCAAUAGGAAUCAAGGUGCCGGAACCCCAGUGGUUUCCCCAGCUGGGGUGAUCUGGCGCAGAGCGGAGUUGGCGCUUGGGGAUCGCUCCUGCUCCUCCCCUCUCCUUGCGGCCUCCGGGAGGUCGGCCCAGAUCCAGUGGUCUCCCGUGAGAUGUGGAUGACGCCCAAGAGGAGCAAAAUGGAAAUCGAGGAGCCUCGGGGGUUCCAGGCCGAGUGGACUCAGCGUUACCUGGUUGUGGAGCCUCCGGAAGGCGAAGGCGCCCUCUGCCUGGUCUGUCGCCGCCUGGUCGUAGCCAAUGGCGAACCCGAUGUCAGGCACCACUACGAGGCGGAGCACGACUACUACGAGCGGUAUGUGGCGGAGGGCGAGCGCGCGGCCCUGGUGGAGCGUCUGCGUCAGGGAGACUUGCCCGAUGCCGCCCCGCUCACCCCGGAGGAGAGAGCUGCUCGUGCAGGCCUCGGGCUCACCCGCCUCUUGGCCUUGAAGGGUCGCGGCUGGGGUGAGGGGGACUUCGUGUACCGGUGCAUGGAGGUGAUGCUCAGAGAUGUGCUGCCUGAUCACGUAGGCGUUAUGGAUGGCAUUGAUUUAUCUCCGGAGAUCACGCAGCAGAGGGUCCUAGACAUUAACCAGAAUCUACGCAGUCAGCUUUUUAACCGAGCCAAGGACUUUAAGGCCUAUUCCCUUGCUUUGGACGACCAGGCUUUUGUGGCCUAUGAGAACUACCUCCUCGUCUUUGUCCGCGGCGUGGGCCACGAUUUAGAGGUGCAGGAAGAGCUUCUGACCAUCAUCAACCUGACUCAGCACUUCAGUGUUGGUGCCCUCAUGGCGGCAAUCCUUGAGGCCCUGCAAACUGCAGGGCUUAGCCUGCAGCGGAUGGUUGGACUGACCACGACCCACACUCUGAGGAUGAUUGGUGAGAACUCAGGUCUGGUGUCAUACAUGAGAGAAAAGGCUGUAAGCCCCAACUGUUGGAAUGUUAUCCAUUAUUCGGGAUUUCUUCACUUGGAACUGUUGAGCUCCUACGAUGUGGAUGUUAAUCAGAUCAUAAAUGCCAUAUCUGAAUGGAUAGUUUUGAUUAAGACCAGAGGCGUUAGGCGGCCAGAAUUUCAGGCUUUACUAACUGAAUCGGAAUCAGAGCAUGGUGAAAGGGUUAAUGGACGCUGUCUGAACAAUUGGCUUAGAAGAGGGAAGACCUUAAAACUAAUAUUUUCUUUAAGAAAAGAGAUAAAAACAUUCUUGGUUUCAAUAGGGGCAACAACGGUCCAUUUCACAGACAAGCAGUGGCUUUGUGACUUUGGCUUUUUGGUGGAUAUUAUGGACCACCUUCGAGAACUCAGCGAACUAUUGAGAGUAAGUAAAGUCUUUGCUGCUGCUGCCUUUGACCAUAUUUGUACCUUUGAAGUUAAGCUGAAUUUACUUCAGAGACAUAUCGAGGAAAACAAUCUAACACACUUUGCCGCCUUGAGAGAAGUUGUUGAUGAGCUUAAAGAGCAUCUUCAAGAAGAUGAAAAAAUACUUGAUCCUGAAAGGUAUCAAGUAGUGAUCUGUCGCCUACAAAAAGAAUUUGAGAGACAUUUCAAGGACCUCAAGUUCAUUAAAAAGGACUUAGAGCUUUUUGCAAAUCCAUUUAGCUUUAAAGCUGAAUAUGCACCUAUUUCAGUAAGGGUGGAGCUAACAAAACUUCAGGCAAAUACUAAUCUUUGGAACGAAUACAGAACCAAAGACUUGGGGCAAUUCUAUGCCGGACUGUCUGCUGAAUCUUACCCAAUUAUCAAAGGGGUUGCCUGUAAGGUAGCAUCCUUGUUUGAUAGUAGCAAGAUUUGUGAAAAGGCUUUUUCAUAUUUGACUCGAAACCAGCACACCUUGAGCCACCCAUUGACAGAUGAACACCUCCACGCCCUGUUUAGGAUUGCCACCACUGAAAUAGAGCCUCAAUGGGAUGAUCUUGUGAGAGGAAGAAAUGAAUCGAAUCCAUAAGCUUUUGUGGUACAACACCGAAACACUCAACAAGAAUCCAACUCUAAAAGCAAAAAUAUGUUUGAUUUUCAAGUUUACUAAUUUGGAUUGUGGGAGAGUACCAUGUUUUUUCACCCAAAGUGAAAAAACUUUCAUCGCAAACAUUUUUCACAAUUCAAAUGCUUCAGACAAUUUUUUUUUCCUCUUUUCAAGAGGCAGCAUGAGACUGAAACAUGCAGAUACCUUUUUUCAAAACUUGGUGGCAGAUACCUUUUUUCAUUAUCUUUUGCUUUUAUGAUAUAAUUGUUUUUAAAGAAGUUCAGUAUUAAUCAUGUGAGUUGAAUUAGGAGUCUGUUUUUAAGACGUUUCAAAGAAACUUUAGCUCUUAUUUUAACAAAGCGUUGAGAUUCUGAUGCGUAUAGUCUGAAAUUAUCAACUCCUUAAAUGUAUGUUUGAGCCAGUUUGCAGAAACUCACAUUAACAAGUGCAGAAGUUUCUGAAAAGGAAGAACGUACAUACAGAGGAGGUAUUUUGUCUAACUAUCAAAAUGUCUGAGACUAUUUUUUUAGACACAUUUCUGAGGCUGAAGUAAAUACAGACAUAUUUUCUCCCUCUCACCUCCCCACCUGCCCUAGCGAUAAUGAUAUUACUCAUAGAGGAAAUAAUCAAUUAAAAUUUUAGUCAGAGGAGCAAGAAUUAUUUUUAAAUUGUUGGUUCAGGAAACUUCCUGAAGUUUGGAGAUCAGACUAACCAAUUAUUGGAGGUUUUCCCUGAUUUUUCACAAUUGGGUGCUGUUUUAUGAGCUUGCCUACUAAAGGACUACGAUGAUUCUGGCUCUUCUGGGAUUUAAAGUAAGUAAACUUAACAAAAUAUUAGAAGAAUGACUCAGCCCUUCCCGUCACUAGACACUCAGUUCACUUGCUUUCCUACCUGCAGGAUGUUCUUAUCUUCUCCCCAAGGAAGGUAACCUAGAAGUGACAUCUAGUCAAUGUAUGCUUCUUAGAUUUACUAUAUUUCUUUGCUUUCUUGUUCACAUGCCUCUCUGAACUUGGAUUUCUGAGUAACUUGGGCUUUCAGGCUUUGUGGGAGACCCAUACCUUAGUCUCUUUUUCCUUGAGCCAUUUUUUCCAAUUUAAGGGAUUAACCAGUGUUAACACUUUUAGUUGAACUUUUAGUUUGAGGCCCAUUAAACUGGUCUAAAGGUUUUAAUAGUAGGUGCGAUGGUCAUCCAGUGAUUUGAUCCUUGCUGCAAAAGUAGGUUUUAAUCAACCUUUGGAGUAAAGGAUUUCUCUUUUUCUCUCUGAAAUAGCCUCUUCCUACCUAAGCAUUUGAGUUUGUGAACUCUCUUUAUUCUCUUGCAUUUCUGCUUGCAAACUGAUGAGUUCUUUUCUGAGUUCAUCUCUUUCCUGUGUAUCUUGUCAAAUGCAACCAUAAAUAUUUUGUUUUCUUGUCUUUUUUUUCCUUAGUAAAGGAUAGAUUCUUUGCCCUCCAGAUGCUCUCAAAGGACAGUUUCACCACUCCAUAAUACGCAUUCCCCCAGCAUAAGUUAUCUCUUUCAUCCACCAAUAUCAAUUUUCUGAAGGCCUGCCAACUAAGCCAAUGUUCAAUAUGCUAGGUUUUUUUGAAAACAGCCAAUUCUUGUAUCAGAAUGGGCUAGGUUGCCAUGCGGUAACACCACAAAAUCUCAGUAUUUCACGCAGCUUUUCUCUCAUAGCUUGGCUAGGGGCUUUGUUCUAAGUCAGGUUGAUGAACUAUGGCCUGUGGGCAAAAAUCUGUCCUGCUACCUGUUUCUGUAAAUAAAGUUUUAGUGGAAGACAGCCUUGCCCAUUUGUUUAUGUAUUGUCUAUGGCUGCUUUUGCUCUACAGUGGCAGCUGAGUACAAAAGUGUGUGGCCCACAAUUUCUAAAAUAUUUACCAUGUGACCCUUUACAGAAAAUAUUCAUUGAUCCCGCUCUAAGUGGUCCUCAUUCUGGGACUCAGGCUGACCAAGCAGAUAUCUAGGGUGUAGUUGCUCAUUUUGGGAAAUGAAAAAAGUAUGACACAUCAUUUACAGGCCCUUAAGGCACUCUCAUUGACCAAAGCAAAUCCCACAGCCACAGCAAAGUUCGAGGAAGAGUGUAUUCCUUCCUCAAGCCUUGGAAGAGAACCAGAAUUAUUUGGAAGACAAUACUACCAAUUAACACAGUUAUAUCUUCCUACUUAGAAAAUUUCUUUUAUAGCUAUUUUAAAAUAUAUUUCCUUUUUAAUUGAGGUGAAAUUUACAGUCAGUAAAAUGCAAGUAUUUAGUGUACACCUCAGUAGACUUUUAUAUACACCCAUGAACCCACUACCCAGAUCAAGAUACUGGACAUUACUAGUACCCCUGUCAGUGCCCUAUGGCCCCCCCGACACACACACACAGAGAUAACUGCUAUUCUGACCCUUAUCACCAUGGGUUAUUUUUGUCCGUUUUAAAGCUUCAUGUAAAUGUAUAAUUACAUGUACUCUUAGUAUUGUGUCUGUGAGUUAUCCAUGUUAUUGUGUGUAGCAGUGGUUUGUUUUUUAUGUAUGACUUUACCACAAUAUAUGAAUCCAUUCUACUGUUGAUGGAAAUUUUGGUUGUUUCUAGUUUGUGGUUAUUAUGAAUAAAUAAAGUUGCUAUGAACAU